GCAGGGGCUGGGGAAGGGGGCGCGUCAAAAGAUGGUGGUUGUGGGGGUGGGGGCGUGGAAGGAUGGUGGCCACGGGGUUGGGGACACAAAAGGAUGGUGGCCAUGGGUUGGGGACGUGGAAGAAUGGUGGCCGUGGGGUUGGAGAACACCAAAAGAUGGCGGCCAUGGGGCUUGUGCGUGGAGGGAUGGUGGCCACGGGGUUGGGGACACAAAAGGAUGGUGGCCAUGGGUUUGGGGACGUGGAAGGACGGUGGCUGUGGGGCUGGGGACGUGGAAGGAUGGUGGCCAUAGGGCUGUGGCCAUGGGGUUGGAGAAUAUCAAAAAUGGUGGCCACGGGGUCGGGGACGUGGAAGGAUGGUGGCCACGGGGUUGGGGAAUGGGGUUGGAGAAUAUCGAAAAUGGCGGCCGUGGGGUUGGAGAACACCAAAAGAUGGUGGCCACGGGGUUGGGGACGUGGAAGGAUGGUGGCCACGGGGUUGGGGAAUGGGGUUGGAGCAUAUCAAAAUGGUGGCCACAGGGUUGGGGACAUGGAAGGACGGUGGCCAUGGGGGUUGGAGAACACCGAAAGAUGGUGGCCACGGGGCUUGUGUGCGGAGGGAUGGUGGCCGUGGGGCUGGGGACACGGCGAGUUGGUGGCCGUAAAGUUGAAGAGCAUCAAAAAAUGUUGGUCCGGGGGCUUGUGCAGAGAGAGGUGGCGACCCCAGGGUCGGGGACACGGAGAGUCGGUGGCCACAAAGACUUGUGCAGAGGGGGGGGUGGUGGCCCUGGGGCUGGGGACGUGGCGGGAUGAUGACCACGGGGUUGGGGACAUCAGAGGCCAGCGGGGACGGGGAGCGGUGCCUGCGCUGCCCGCCUCUGUGACGCUGCUCCCGUGCGAGGCCCCCGACGCCCCCCCCCCCGGGGGUUCCUCCACCCUGGGGUCUCCCCAACGUUUUUUUUGUAAUUAUUAAUAAAAAGCUGUUUUUUGUUUUUCUCUCCGGUCGUGUCGUUCUGUGGGGCUGGGGGGUGAAGGCGCGAGGCACAAACGCCAGCGGGCAGCGGCCAGCGCCUGGCCAACUGCAGCCCACCCACGCUCCGACCAACCACCAACCAACCCAUCCGUGACCCACCCACCCAACCCAUCAGCCAACCAACCCGAUUGCGAUCCCCCCGAUCAACCAAUCAGCUAGCUACCCUGUCCGUGAUCCAACCAAGCAGCUCGUUAACCGACCCACCCACCCAUCAACCAACCAUCCUGUCCACGAGCCACCCGACCAACCUGUCCACUGAUCAACCACCCAACCAACCCAACCACGAUCCACUCAGCGAACCCGUCAACCAACCACCCUGUCCAUCGUCCACCCAACCAACCCAAUCAUGAUCUAACCAACCAACCACCCAUGAUCCACUCAACCAACCCCUUAACCAACCAACCAUCCCAUCAACCAACCAACCAACCCCUUAACCAACCAACCAUCCCAUCAACCACCCAACCAACCCAAUCAUGCUCCAAGCACCCAACCAACCCAUCAACCAACCAACCCCUUAACCAACCAACCCAACCAUGAUCCAACCAACCAACCCAUCAACCAACCACCCUGUCCAUGAUCCACCCAACCAACCCAUCAACCAACCACCCUGUCCACGAUCCACCCAACCAACCCAGUCAUGAUCUAACCAACCACCUGUCCCACUAACCACCCGACCAACCCAACCGCGAUCCACCCAACCAACCCAAUCAUGAUCUAACCGACCACCCACCCCACUAACCACCCGACCAACCCAAUCGCGAUCUAACCAACCAACCCCUCAACCAACCAACCCAACCACCAGCCACCCAACCACCCCAUGCACGCCCCCACGGCGCCUGGAAGGAGUCGGCCCCUCGGUCGCAUCCACAGUUUAAUAUCGGCUCCAUCUGUACAUCACCGGGGCAGACGCGGGUGUGAGCGGGGGCCCGGCCGCCCCCUU
ensembl:lncRNA